UUGCGGCCACAUCCCUUGAAAACAUCGGUUCUCGUACGAUCACCGAAGUUAAGCAACGUCGAGUCUGGUCAGUACCUAGAUGAGUGACCGCUUGGGAAUGUCAGGCGCUGUAA